rnacentral:lncRNA from 10 species
GGUCUUUUGUAUUUUGCAAAAGCUGCAAGGGCAUCCCUGUGUUGGACAACCUAUCUGUGGAGACCUGUCAGGAUUCAUCACCUGCUAACUAAAGACUCCCUGGGUCCUGAAUAACCAACAAUGAUACCCAGGUAAUAUGCCAUGGGCUUUGGGCUCUUAGAUACGUUGGCUUCAGGUGUGACCCAGCACAUUCCCAGCUGUGGUGGCUGUGGUGAAAGACUCCUUCUGUUUGAGAAAAGCAGGGGGAAAAUUAAGGGAACUCUUGCAUGUUUGAUUUUUCAAAUGGAUUCCUGCCUGUGUGUGACCACUCUUUUCUCUCAAAAACUCAUCAUGGGAACACUGCAAUAAAACCAAAGAACCAGGACACCAAAGAUUGUUAUAUAUGGAUUUGAGAACAUAAGGGGAAAUUCCUGGGCUCCCAGAAGAG